rnacentral:rRNA from 1 species
AUUGAACGCUGGCGGCAGGCCUAACACAUGCAAGUCGAGCGGAGCGUCGGACGGGUGAGUACUGCCUAGGAAUCAGCCCGUUAGUGGGGGACCCCGUCCGGAAACGGGCCCCUUUACCGCAUACUAUCAACUGACCCUAGGUCGGAUUAGCUAGUUGGUGGGGUAAAGGCUUACCAAGGCGACGAUCCGUAGCUGAUCUGAGAGGAUGAUCCGUCACACUGGAACUGAGACACGGUCCAGACUCCUACGGGAGGCAGCAGUGGGGAAUAUUGGACAAUGGGCGAAAGCCUGAUCCAGCCACGCCGCGUGUGUGAAGAAGGUCUUCGGAUUGUAAAGCACUGUAAUUAGGGAAGCGUUACCAACAGAAUAAGCACCGGCUAACUUCGUGCCAGCAGCCGCGGUAAUAC